rnacentral:rRNA from 1 species
GACGAAGGAUGCAAGCGUUAUCCGGAUUCAUUGGGUUUAAAGGGUGCGUAGGCGGUUCCAUAAGUCAGUGGUGAAAUACGGCAGCUCAACUGUCGAGGUGCCAUUGAUACUGCGGAACUUGAGUGUUGAUGAGGCAGGCGGAAUUGACGGUGUAGCGGUGAAAUGCUUAGAUAUCGUCAAGAACACCGAUAGCGAAGGCAGCUUGCCAAGCAACAACUGACGCUCAGGCACGAAAGUGCGGGGAUCAAACAGGAUUAGAACGUACCUAGGUCAGAUCCAAGACCAGU